rnacentral:rRNA from 1 species
UACGGGGGGAGCAAGCGUUGUUCGGAAUUACUGGGCGUAAAGCGCCCGCAGGCGGCCUGUCAAGUUCGAGGUGAAAUCUCCCGGCUUAACUGGGAGGGUGCCUCGAAAACUGGCAGGCUUGAGGCAUGGAGAGGGAUGCAGAAUUCCUGGUGUAGCGGUGAAAUGCGUAGAUAUCAGGAGGAAUACCAGUGGCGAAGGCGGCAUCCUGGCCCUGUCCUGACGCUCAGGGGCGAAAGCGUGGGGAGCAAACCGG